UACGGAGGGUGCGAGCGUUGUCCGGAUUUAUUGGGUUUAAAGGGUGCGUAGGCGGUUCUUUAAGUCCGGGGUGAAAGCCCGUUGCUCAACAACGGAACUGCCCUGGAUACUGGAGAACUUGAGUACAGACGAGGUUGGCGGAAUGGACCGAGUAGCGGUGAAAUGCAUAGAUACGGUCCAGAACCCCGAUUGCGAAGGCAGCUGACUAGGCUGUUACUGACGCUGAGGCACGACAGCGUGGGGAGCGAACAGG
rnacentral:rRNA from 1 species